rnacentral:rRNA from 1 species
CCCUUAGAUGUUCUGGGCCGCACGCGCGCUACACUGAUGCAUUCAACGAGUCUAAAACCUGGUCUGAUAGGGCUGGGUAAUCUUUUGAAUGUGCAUCGUGAUUGGGAUAGAUGAUUGCAAUUCUUCAUCUUCAACGAGGAAUGCCUAGUAAACGCAAGUCAUCAGCUUGCAUUGAUUACGUCCCUGCCCUUUGUACACACCGCCCGUCGCACCUACCGAUUGAAUGGUCCGGUGAAGCCUCCGGAUUGGCGCGCACCUCGGUGCCGCCGAGAAGUUGGCUAAACCUUACCAUUUAGAGGAAGGUGAAGUCGUAACA